rnacentral:rRNA from 1 species
AUUGAACGCUGGCGGCAUGCCUUACACAUGCAAGUCGAACGGCAGCACGGGGCAACCUGGUGGCGAGUGGCGAACGGGUGAGUAAUGCAUCGGAACGUACCUUUCAGUGGGGGAUAACGUAGCGAAAGUUACGCUAAUACCGCAUAUUCUGUGAGCAGGAAAGCAGGGGAUCGCAAGACCUUGCGCUGAUUGAGCGGCCGAUGUCAGAUUAGCUAGUUGGUGAGGUAAAGGCUCACCAAGGCGACGAUCUGUAGCGGGUGUGAGAGGAUGAUCGUCUACACUGGAACUGAGACACGGUCCACACGCCUACGGGAGGCAGCAGUGGGGAAUUUUGGACAAUGGGGGCAACCCUGAUCCAGCCAUGCCGCGUGAGUGAAGAAGGCCUUCGGGUUGUAAAGCUCUUUCGGCCGGGAAGAAAUCGCACGGGCUAAUACCCUGUGUGGAUGACGGUACCGGAAUAAGAAGCACCGGCUAACUACGUGCCAGCCGCCGCAGUAAGAC